UUCCGGUUGAUCCCGCCGGACCUGACUGCUAUCGGAUUGAUACUAAGCCAUGCGAGUCUUUGCAGUAAUGCAAGGCAUACGGCUCAGUAACACGUAGUCAACUUACCCUAUGGACGAGGAUAAUCUCGGGAAACUGAGCAUAAUACUCGAUAGAUCAUAAUGCCUGGAAUGGUUUAUGGUUGAAAUGAUUCGUCGCCAUAGGAUGGGACUGCGGCCUAUCAGCUUGUUGGUGAGGUAAUGGCCCACCAAGGCGAUUACAGGUACGGGCUCUGAGAGGAGGAGCCCGGAGAUGGGUACUGAGACAAGGACCCAGGCCCUAUGGGGCGCAGCAGGCGAGAAAACUUUGCAAUGUGCGAAAGCACGACAAGGUUAAUCCGAGUGAUUUCUGCUAAAGAAAUCUUUUGCAAGUCAUAAAACCACUAGUGAAUAAGGGGUGGGCAAGUUCUGGUGUCAGCCGCCGCGGUAAAACCAGCACCUCAAGUGGUCAGGAGGAUUAUUGGGCCUAAAGCAUCCGUAGCCGGCUCUGUAAGUUUUCGGUUAAAUCCAUGUGCUCAACGCAUGGGCUGCCGAAAAUACUGCAUAGCUAGGGAGUGGGAGAGGUAGACGGUACUCGGUAGGAAGGGGUAAAAUCCUUUGAUCUAUCGAUGACCACCUGUGGCGAAGGCGGUCUACCAGAACACGUUCGACGGUGAGGGAUGGAAGCUGGGGGAGCAAACCGGAUUAGAUACCCGGGUAGUCCCAGCUGUAAACGAUGCAGACUCGAUGAUGCAUUGGCAUAUAGCCAGUGCAGUGUCGCAGGGAAGCCGUUAAGUCUGCCGCCUGGGAAGUACGUACGCAAGUAUGAAACUUAAAGGAAUUGGCGGGGGAGCACCACAAGGGGUGAAGCCUGCGGUUCAAUUGGAAUCAACGCCGGA
rnacentral:rRNA from 1 species